UACGUAGGGAGCAAGCGUUGCCCGGAAUCACUGGGCGUAAAGCGCACGUAGGCGGCUUUCUAAGUCAGGGGUGAAAUCCUGGAGCUCAACUCCAGAACUGCCUUUGAUACUGGAGAGCUUGAGUCCGGGAGAGGUGAGUGGAACUCCGAGUGUAGAGGUGAAAUUCGUAGAUAUUCGGAAGAACACCAGUGGCGAAGGCGGCUCACUGGCCCGGUACUGACGCUGAGGUGCGAAAGCGUGGGGAGCAAACAGG
rnacentral:rRNA from 1 species